rnacentral:rRNA from 1 species
CCUACGGGAGGCAGCAGUGGGGAAUAUUGCGCAAUGGGCGAAAGCCUGACGCAGCGACGCCGCGUGAGGGAUGAAGGUCUUCGGAUCGUAAACCUCUGUCAGCAGGGAAGCACGGUCACUGUGCUAAUCAGCAGUGAAUUGACGGUACCUGCAAAGGAAGCACCGGCUAACUCCGUGCCAGCAGCCGCGGUAAUCCGGAGGGUGCGAGCGUUAAUCGGAAUUACUGGGCGUAAAGCGCUCGUAGGCGGUAUGUCAAGUCAAGGGGGAAAUCCCCGCGGUCAACGUGGGAACUGCCUUUGAAACUGGCAAACUGGAGUGUGUGAGAGGAUAGUGGAAUUCCAGGUGUAGGAGUGAAAUCCGUAGAUAUCUGGAGGAACAUCAGUGGCGAAGGCGACUAUCUGGCACAUAACUGACGCUGAGGAGCGAAAGCGUGGGUAGCAAACAGGAUUAGAUACCCCAGUAGUC